AAUUAGAAAUUGACGAAGUAAUUACACACGACUAAGAAACAAACAGGUGGAGUCUGGUGCCUCCCCCCCCCCCCUUAGAGAGAAUCUUCCCGGUCGUUGGUGGAAGUGUGCACAACGCUAGGGACGCUACCCUGAGAAUUCUAUUACGCAAGGCGGGAUUCUGAAACAGAGGUUCGGCUCCGGCCUAUGGAUAUGGAAGGCCAAAUCUCUGUCGAAAUUGUAAAUCGUGGUGUCGGAACUCGAUGUUGCUGCUGCACACAGUACCGGGCUUGUGAGUUUGAUUGGAGCGAGCUUCGCGACCAAAUUCACAGGGUUAGCGUAGAGUACGGCGCCUCCAUGGCUCCGAAUGGGUGACUCCGGUAAUUCGGAACAUGGAGGCGAGUACGAUACCGACUGAAAUUGAGCCAGCAUCGUCACUGCAUACAGACGUACAUGGUGUAACAUGCGGCCAGACACACACAAGUCUCACUAUACAUACCAAUCGUACAACGGUCCACCCAACAUUCACAUCAAACACCUAGGCACAUACACACAGUUAUCCCCCCCUCGCUUCACUCAUCACCAAAAGUGACCAACAGCAACCAAUGCCUCACCAGAAUCACCUGGAGUCCAUGACUAUCUCACAGUUCUCUAAGCAAUUGGAUGACUGCCACGUAUGAAACAGUGGAAGGUUGAAUGUGAGUCAGCACUGACGCAAUGUCUGAAGAACUCCACUGACAUACGAUGUCAAUCACUGCAGUAUGUUGUCGCCGACAUACCGCUGUCACCCUCACAAGUCGAUGCGGUCCUACUCUCGGAACAGUGGGGCGAGAAGACUAUGGUGAAUGGCACGACAGUGAAAAAGCAGCAGCAAACAAGAUGUACUUCAAAUUGCUUCACAUAUUAAAGCGCUAAAAAA